rnacentral:rRNA from 1 species
GCUGGCGGCAGGCCUAACACAUGCAAGUCGAGCGGUAGAGAGAAGCUUGCUUCUCUUGAGAGCGGCGGACGGGUGAGUAAAGCCUAGGAAUCUGCCUGGUAGUGGGGGAUAACGUUCGGAAACGGACGCUAAUACCGCAUACGUCCUACGGGAGAAAGCAGGGGACCUUCGGGCCUUGCGCUAUCAGAUGAGCCUAGGUCGGAUUAGCUAGUUGGUGAGGUAAUGGCUCACCAAGGCGACGAUCCGUAACUGGUCUGAGAGGAUGAUCAGUCACACUGGAACUGAGACACGGUCCAGACUCCUACGGGAGGCAGCAGUGGGGAAUAUUGGACAAUGGGCGAAAGCCUGAUCCAGCCAUGCCGCGUGUGAGAAGAAGGUCUUCGGAUUGUAAAGCACUUUAAGUUGGGAGGAAGGGCAUUAACCUAAUACGUUAGUGUUUUGACGUUACCGACAGAAUUAGCACCGGCUAACUCUGUGCCAGCAGCCGCGGGUAAUACAGAGGGUGCAAGCGUUAAUCGGAAUUACUGGGCGUAAAGCGCGCGUAGGUGGUUUGUUAAGUUGGAUGUGAAAUCCCCGGGCUCAACCUGGGAACUGCAUUCAAAACUGACUGACUAGAGUAUGGUAGAGGGUGGGUGGAAUUUCCUGUGUAGCGGUGAAAUGCGUAGAUAUAGGAAGGAACACCAGUGGCGAAGGCGACCACCUGGACUAAUACUGACACUGAGUGCGAAAGCGUGGGGGAGCAAAC